rnacentral:rRNA from 1 species
GACGAACGCUGGCGGCGUGCUUAACACAUGCAAGUCGAACGGAAAGGCCCUGAUUUUGUGGCGUGCUCGAGUGGCGAACGGGUGUGAAACACGUGAGUAACCUGCCCUUGACUUUGGGAUAACUUCAGGAAACUCGGGCUAAUACCGGAUAGGAGCUCCUGCUGCAUGGGGGGGGUUGGAAAGUGUCGGCGGUUGGGGAUGGACUCGCGGCUUAUCCGCUUGUUGGUGGGGUAGUGGCGUAACAAGGCUUUGACGGGUAGCCGGCCUGACAGGGUGACCGGCCCCAUCGGGACUGGGAUGCGGCCCAGAGGGCUACUGGAGGAAGGAGUGGAGAAUAGUGGACAAAGGGCGGAAGGCUGAUGGAGGAUCGCCGCAUGCGAGAUGACGGUCAUCGGGUAGUAAACCGCUUUCGCCUGUGACGAAACGUGAGGGAGGUUAAUAGGUAGAGAGGCACGGGCAAAUUCGGG